rnacentral:rRNA from 1 species
AUUGUACGCUGGCGGCAGGCCUAACACAUGCAAGUCGAACGGUAACAGAAAGCAGCUUGCUGCUUUGCUGACGAGUGGCGGACGGGUGAGUAAUGUCUGGGAAACUGCCUGAUGGAGGGGGAUAACUACUGGAAACGGUAGCUAAUACCGCAUAACGUCGCAAGACCAAAGAGGGGGACCUUCGGGCCUCUUGCCAUCGGAUGUGCCCAGAUGGGAUUAGCUAGUAGGUGGGGUAACGGCUCACCUAGGCGACGAUCCCUAGCUGGUCUGAGAGGAUGACCAGCCACACUGGAACUGAGACACGGUCCAGACUCCUACGGGAGGCAGCAGUGGGGAAUAUUGCACAAUGGGCGCAAGCCUGAUGCAGCCAUGCCGCGUGUAUGAAGAAGGCCUUCGGGUUGUAAAGUACUUUCAGCGGGGAGGAAGGGAGUAAAGUUAAUACCUUUGCUCAUUGACGUUACCCGCAGAAGAAGCACCGGCUAACUCCGUG